rnacentral:rRNA from 1 species
ACGAGCGCAACCCUUGUCCCUAGUUGCUAGCAGGUAAUGCUGAGAACUCUAGGGAGACUGCCGGUGACAAACCAGGAGGAAGGUGGGGACGACGUCAAGUCAUCAUGGCCCUUACGUCCUGGGCUACACACGUGCUACAAUGGUUGGUACAGACGGUCGCUAAGCCGCGAGGUGGAGCUAAUCCGAGAAAACCAAUCGUAGUCCGGAUCGGAGUCUGCAACUCGAGUGCGGGAAGUCGGA